rnacentral:rRNA from 1 species
AAAAAAGGUAAGCUACUAAGAGCGAAUGGUGGAUGCCUUGACUGGUAAAGGCGAUGAAGGACGUACUAGACUGCGAUAAGCUACGGGGAGCUGUCAAGAAGCUUUGAUCCGUAGAUUUCCGAAUGGGGCAACCCAAUGUAUAGAGAUAUACAUUACCUAUAUAGGAGCGAACGAGGGGAAUUGAAACAUCUUAGUACCCUCAGGAAAAGAAAUCAAUAGAGAUUGCGUCAGUAGCGGCGAGCGAAAGCGCAAGAGGGCAAACCCAGUGCUUGCACUGGGGGUUGUAGGACUGCAAUGUGCAAGAGGUGAGUUUAGCAGAACAUUCUGGAAAGUAUAGCCAUAGAGGGUGAUAGUCCCGUAUGCGAAAAACAAACCUUAGCUAGCAGUAUCCUGAGUAGGGCGGGACACGAGAAAUCCUGUCUGAAGCUGGGUCGACCACGAUCCAACCCUAAAUACUAAUACCAGAUCGAUAGUGCACAAGUACCGUGAGGGAAAGGUGAAAAGAACUGAGGUGAUCAGAGUGAAAUAGAACCUGAAACCAUUUGCUUACAAUCAUUCAGAGCCCUAUGUAGCAAUACAGGGUGAUGGACUGCCUUUUGCAUAAUGAGCCUGCGAGUUGUGGUGUCUGGCAAGGUUAAGCAAACGCGAAGCCGUAGCGAAAGCGAGUCUGAAUAGGGCGCUUAGUCAGAUGCUGCAGACCCGAAACGAAGUGAUCUAUCCAUGAGCAAGUUGAAGCUAGUGUAAGAACUAGUGGAGGACUGAACCCAUAGGCGUUGAAAAGCCCCGGGAUGACUUGUGGAUAGGGGUGAAAGGCCAAUCAAACUUCGUGAUAGCUGGUUCUCUCCGAAAUAUAUUUAGGUAUAGCGUUGUGUCGUAAUAUAAGGGGGUAGAGCACUGAAUGGGCUAGGGCAUACACCAAUGUACCAAACCCUAUCAAACUCCGAAUACCUUAUAUGUAAUCACAGCAGUCAGGCGGCGAGUGAUAAAAUCCGUCGUCAAGAGGGAAACAACCCAGACUACCAGCUAAGGUCCCUAAAUCUUACUUAAGUGGAAAACGAUGUGAAGUUACUUAAACAACCAGGAGGUUGGCUUAGAAGCAGCCAUCCUUUAAAGAAAGCGUAAUAGCUCACUGGUCUAGUGAUUUUGCGCGGAAAAUAUAACGGGGCUAAAGUAAGUACCGAAGCUGUAGACUUGCGCACAACUUAGAUUAUUUAAGUUUAGAAUAUGAGAAACUAAGUUAUAUGUUUAGUUAUAUUUUUACUGAUUUUUAUAGAGUAAAGAUAGAAAUAAAACUUAGUAAAAUCAGUAAAAAUAUUCUUAGACUAAAGUUAAGUAGUUUAAGUUGUGUGCAAGUGGUAGGAGAGCGUUCUAUUUGCGUCGAAGGUAUACCGGUAAGGAGUGCUGGAGCGAAUAGAAGUGAGCAUGCAGGCAUGAGUAGCGAUAAUUAAUGUGAGAAUCAUUAACGCCGUAAACCCAAGGUUUCCUACGCGAUGCUCGUCAUCGUAGGGUUAGUCGGGUCCUAAGUCGAGUCCGAAAGGGGUAGACGAUGGCAAAUUGGUUAAUAUUCCAAUACCAACAUUAGUGUGCGAUGGAAGGACGCUUAGGGCUAAGGGGGCUAGCGGAUGGAAGUGCUAGUCUAAGGUCGUAGGAGGUUAUACAGGCAAAUCCGUAUAACAAUACUCCGAGAACUGAAAGGCUUUUUGAAGUCUUCGGAUGGAUAGAAGAACCCCUGAUGCC